rnacentral:lncRNA from 1 species
GAAAGUUUCCGUGUGUUCUAGAGAGAUAGAGAAAGGGGUAUGUUGUUUUCCAGAUAUCUUGCAUGACAAGAAACCUAAACCUCUGGAUCCAAGAAACAUAUAUCAGACGGUUAAGAUCAACCGGCAUCACGACCGGACAUUCUAUGCAAAAUCUGUGGCGCCAGACGGUACACCGCCAACAUUUCUCAAGAAGAAAGGAUGGGAGCUACGAACCUCGAGGAGCCUACAUCCGAGGAGACCUAGAGAAGCUCUUGGCCUAGACGAGGAACUAAGAGCUCGUCUCCCAGCAUUUGGAUUUCCAGUUUCUACAAUUCGGUCAGGAAGUGUGAUAGUUGGAGAAUGGUAUUGCCCUUUUAUGUUUGUGAAGGAGAAUUGUAGUGUAAGUCAACAAAUGAGGAAGUCAAUGUUCUAUAGGAUCACACUAUCCCAAUACUGGGAACGAAUUUACCAUUGCGGAAACAAUGAUCUUGAUGAAAACAAUGAUGAAAACGAAGAAGAAGUUGUGAGAGUAGAGGCUAAC